UGCAACAACCGAUCGGAACUCCGACUCAUAAAUCACGUAUAUAGACAUUUGGAAUGGAUAUCUUGAUGCCUUAGAGAUUAGACAGGUAGCGAAACGUUCCGUUGGUCGGCAACGUAGAAGGCAGAGGUUGAAGCAACAAAUUUUCUUCUUACGAAAACCUUGCCUUUAUGAAAGUACGCUGUACUGGACUUUCUUCCCCUAGUUACGCAGAAGAGCAAGCACUGAAGCGGAUGACCGGACCUUACCAACAUACUAAAAAAAGUAGGAUUGGCAACCGAAAAAUAACCUUAUUCUAUCAUCGGCCUUGUGAACUAAUUACUUUCGU
rnacentral:lncRNA from 1 species